rnacentral:rRNA from 1 species
UACGGAGGAUGCAAGCGUUAUCCGGAAUGAUUGGGCGUAAAGCGUCCGCAGGUGGCAAUGUAAGUCUGCUGUCAAAGCGUCUGGCUCAACCAGAUAAAGGCAGUGGAAACUACAUAGCUAGAGUAAGGUAGGGGUAGAGGGAAUUCCUGGUGUAGCGGUGAAAUGCGUAGAGAUCAGGAAGAACACCGGUGGCGAAGGCGGCCUGCUGGGCAGUAGCUGACGCUGAUGCGCGACAGCGUGGGGGGCAAACAGG